rnacentral:rRNA from 1 species
UACAGAGGGGGCAAGCGUUGUUCGGAAUUACUGGGCGUAAAGGGCUCGUAGGUGGUUUGUCGCGUUGUUCGUGAAAACUCACAGCUUAACUGUGGGCGUGCGGGCGAUACGGGCAGACUGGAGUACUGCAGGGGAGACUGGAAUUCCUGGUGUAGCGGUGGAAUGCGCAGAUAUCAGGAGGAACACCGGUGGCGAAGGCGGGUCUCUGGGCAGUAACUGACGCUGAGGAGCGAAAGCGUGGGGGAGCGAACAGG